rnacentral:rRNA from 1 species
GACGAACGCUGGCGGCGUGCUUAACACAUGCAAGUCGAACGGAAAGGCCUGCUUUCCCUUGUGGAUUGCGGGUACUCGAGUGGCGAACGGGUGAGUAACACGUGAGUGAUCUGCCCCCAACUUGGGUAUAAGCCUGGGAAACUGGGUCUAAUUCCCGAUAGGACUGCAGGGUGGUGCCUGUGGUGGAACACGAUUUUCUAGUGGUUGGGGAUGAGCUCGCGGCCUAUCAGCUUGUUGGUGGGGUAAUGGCCUACCAAGGCGGCGACGGGUAGCCGGCCUGGGAGGGUCGACGGCCACAUUGGGACUGGGAUACGGCCCAGACUCCUACGGGAGGCAGCAGUGGGGAAUAAUGCACAAUGGGCGGAAGCCUGAUGCAGCGACGCCGCGUGGGGGAUGACGGCCUUCGGAUUGUAAACUCCUUUCGACCGCGAGGAAGCCACCUGGUUGGAAGGGUGGUGACGGUAGUGGUAGAAGAAGCACCGGCUAACUACGUG